GCCAGGUAUGAUAGUACAUGCCUGCGGUCUCAGCUACAUGGGGGGCUGAGGCGGGAGGAUCAGUUUAGCCUGGGAGUUCUGGACUAUAGUUCACUAUGCCAACUAGGUAUUCACACUAGGUUCAACAUCAGUAUGGUGACCUCCUGGGAGCAGGGAACCACCAGGUUGCCCAAGGACGGGUGAAUGGGUUCAGGUCAGAAACAGAACAGUCAAAGCUCCUAUGCUGAUCAGCAAUGGCAUUCUGCCUGUGAAUAGCGACUGCACUCUGCCUGGGCAACAUAGCAAGACCUCAUCUCUA
ensembl:misc_RNA Metazoa_SRP Metazoan signal recognition particle RNA